AACGAACGCUGGCGGCAUGCCUAACACAUGCAAGUCGAACGAGACCUUCGGGUCUAGUGGCGCACGGGUGCGUAACGCGUGGGAACCUGCCCUUAGGUUCGGAAUAACUCCCCGAAAGGGGUGCUAAUACCGGAUAAUGUCUUCGGACCAGAGAUUUAUCGCCUUUGGAUGGGCCCGCGUUGGAUUAGCUAGUUGGUAGGGUAAAAGCCUACCAAGGCGACGAUCCAUAGCUGGUCUGAGAGGAUGAUCAGCCACACUGGGACUGAGACACGGCCCAGACUCCUACGGGAAGCAGCAGUGGGGGAUAUUGGACAAUGGGCGAAAGCCUGAUCCAGCAAUGCCGCGUGAGUGAUGAAGGCCUUAGAGUUGUAAAGCUCUUUUACCCGGGAUGAUAAUGACAGUACCGGGAGAAUAAGCUCCGGCUAACUCCGUG
rnacentral:rRNA from 1 species